CGUUCCGGCUUGUACACACCGCCCGUCACACCACGAAAGUCGGCAACGCCCGAAGCCAGUGGCCUAACCCUUCGGGAAGGAGCUGUCGAAGGUGGGGUCGGCGAUUGGGGUG
rnacentral:rRNA from 1 species